rnacentral:tRNA from 1 species
AGUGACCUAGUGGUCAGAGCACCACAUCUCCAAAUGGAUAACGUUGGUUCAAGUCCUAGC